rnacentral:lncRNA from 1 species
AAGAGUCCAGCAAGGAGGGCUGGGAUUCACACUGAGCACAUGUGUCUGCCUCGGCUUGGGCUGUUUUCUGGGAUGGACUACCUGAAAUUCAUCGCGUCCACUUCCAUAUGUGUGAAAGUGCAUGAGGAGGACAUGGAAUGAUGCUAUAUAUCUUGCUACAAAUAUGUAUAAACAGUUGCUGUAUAUGAAUGAUCUCUUUCAACGCCCUGGCCUCAGAAGUAUGCAUUGACAAUGAGAAAAAGCAGAUUAUAAAGUACCUUGGAAAGUCAGAAAAUGAAUGAGAAUUGACGAGGGAAAUAUUGAUUUCCUAGGAACAACAAACACUAGGCUAGGGAAUAAUCAAGUGCAGAAACCCAGGCUCUCAGUGUUCCUUCUAGCACUUUCUCAGGAAUAAUCAAAUGCUGCACCAAAGUCACAAAUGUCUUCUGAAAAAUCCCACAAGAAAUUUGCCCAGAAAACAGUACAUGAAACACAAGGAAAGGAUGAAAACAUGAAUAACAAGGGAUGAGACAGGGAAAGAAGAGAUGGUAACUGUGUAAGCACUCUGGGAUACUUCAUGUGCGAAGGCCAUUCACCUGAAAACACAAGCACUAGGGGAUUUAGAGAGCACAGAUUAGAGUAAACUCUAGGAGCUCUGUAAUAUCUGCAAUACCAAAGAAACCAGAUAAUGCAAAUCCUCUACCAGAAUGUUUCUCUGUGAAUAUUCUAACAAUUGUAAUAUGCAUGAAAUGAGUAUAAUCCCUAAUCCAUGUGAUGGAAAAUUUACUGACAACAGGAAUUUCUGUAAAACAGAAAUUGGAGAUGCAGGGAAAAAUACAUUGCUGUCAUAAAUUUAUAAUAUGUAUAACUUGAUGCCCUGGGCAUUUGUAGACAGACAGCAUCAAGUGUGUAAUUAAAAAAUGGGCAUAGGAAUACAUGAAUUUUCAGGGAGUAAUGAGGACAUUUUUCAAAGUAUGUCACUUCAUGAUUCUUACCUGUGACAUACAGGCUGAGUAUUGUUGUCAUUUCUACCAGAAACAGACCAUAAAUUCCUGCUCAAGUGACAGAUGUUGUACUUUAAAUUCAAAAGUAAGAAAUACAUAAAAUAAAUGUG